GUUUUCACCGCUCCGAUCCAUAAAAUUUCAUCAAAAAUUCGCUCAUGUCUUGACUCGUCUUAAAUAUAUAGAGCAAUAAGUAGAAAUUCGUCCUGACCUACCAAAAAAAACAAAGCUUCGUUUCCAUCCUUAAUCUGAAGUCGCAUGCAGAUAAGUUUUCUAAUCAGUGUAGUGAAUUUUUCUGCAUACUAUUAAUUUCUUCAUCUGUAUCUUCAGAAUGCGCAAUUGAUUUCAACUAAUCAGUAUAAUCGAAUCCAUAAUUGAUUGAAAGCAGAAUCAAUAAAUUUUUUUUUUUCUUUUGAAGAUUUUAAUAGGCCAACCACACGCAGACAUCCGGCUAAAAGUGAGAUUUGAACUUAAGCAACAAUGUGUGAAGAAGGAGCACUUAACUACUGACUGGCUAAAUUAACGGACGUUG
rnacentral:lncRNA from 1 species